AGAGUUUGAUCAUGGCUCAGAUUGAACGCUGGCGGCAGGCCUAACACAUGCAAGUCGAGCGGUAGCACAGAGAGCUUGCUCUCGGGUGACGAGCGGCGGACGGGUGAGUAAUGUCUGGGAAACUGCCUGAUGGAGGGGGAUAACUACUGGAAACGGUAGCUAAUACCGCAUAACGUCGCAAGACCAAAGUGGGGGACCUUCGGGCCUCAUGCCAUCAGAUGUGCCCAGAUGGGAUUAGCUAGUAGGUGGGGUAACGGCUCACCUAGGCGACGAUCCCUAGCUGGUCUGAGAGGAUGACCAGCCACACUGGAACUGAGACACGGUCCAGACUCCUACGGGAGGCAGCAGUGGGGAAUAUUGCACAAUGGGCGCAAGCCUGAUGCAGCCAUGCCGCGUGUGUGAAGAAGGCCUUCGGGUUGUAAAGCACUUUCAGCGGGGAGGAAGGCGGUAAGGUUAAUAACCUUGUCGAUUGACGUUACCCGCAGAAGAAGCACCGGCUAACUCCGUGCCAGCAGCCGCGGUAAUACGGAGGGUGCAAGCGUUAAUCGGAAUUACUGGGCGUAAAGCGCACGCAGGCGGUCUGUCAAGUCGGAUGUGAAAUCCCCGGGCUCAACCUGGGAACUGCAUUCGAAACUGGCAGGCUAGAGUCUUGUAGAGGGGGGUAGAAUUCCAGGUGUAGCGGUGAAAUGCGUAGAGAUCUGGAGGAAUACCGGUGGCGAAGGCGGCCCCCUGGACAAAGACUGACGCUCAGGUGCGAAAGCGUGGGGAGCAAACAGGAUUAGAUACCCUGGUAGUCCACGCCGUAAACGAUGUCGACUUGGAGGUUGUGCCCUUGAGGCGUGGCUUCCGGAGCUAACGCGUUAAGUCGACCGCCUGGGGAGUACGGCCGCAAGGUUAAAACUCAAAUGAAUUGACGGGGGCCCGCACAAGCGGUGGAGCAUGUGGUUUAAUUCGAUGCAACGCGAAGAACCUUACCUGGUCUUGACAUCCACAGAACUUUCCAGAGAUGGAUUGGUGCCUUCGGGAACUGUGAGACAGGUGCUGCAUGGCUGUCGUCAGCUCGUGUUGUGAAAUGUUGGGUUAAGUCCCGCAACGAGCGCAACCCUUAUCCUUUGUUGCCAGCGGUCCGGCCGGGAACUCAAAGGAGACUGCCAGUGAUAAACUGGAGGAAGGUGGGGAUGACGUCAAGUCAUCAUGGCCCUUACGACCAGGGCUACACACGUGCUACAAUGGCGCAUACAAAGAGAAGCGACCUCGCGAGAGCAAGCGGACCUCAUAAAGUGCGUCGUAGUCCGGAUUGGAGUCUGCAACUCGACUCCAUGAAGUCGGAAUCGCUAGUAAUCGUGGAUCAGAAUGCCACGGUGAAUACGUUCCCGGGCCUUGUACACACCGCCCGUCACACCAUGGGAGUGGGUUGCAAAAGAAGUAGGUAGCUUAACCUUCGGGAGGGCGCUUACCACUUUGUGAUUCAUGACUGGGGUGAAGUCGUAACAAGGUAACCGUAGGGGAACCUGCGGUUG
rnacentral:rRNA from 1 species